rnacentral:lncRNA from 1 species
GGGGGCAUAGGGAUUAUUUUUCUAUGUCAGAAGAGACAAGCUUUAAUUGGCAAGAUGGCUGCUCAACUAAUUCUUAAGCCUCAAUCACUUUAAGUUCAGAUAGUCUGUGCUAAAUAUAAAUUUUCAGAAUCUUGGCAUGAUUAUAAAAAACCUACUAACUGUUUAAUGUGUUGGGCAAAGAAAGUGAAAUAUGAUGUAGAGAUUCAAUUCUUGAUCAGUGGGCAAUGGUGAAUCUACAAAGCUGAUUUAUGAUCCAU